UCCGGUAAUACGAGAGCGAGAAUUUUGGUUUAGAGCUAAAAUAAGUUUAAUACUUCUUUAAAAAGUUAUCAUAAUUGGCUUAAAUUUAUGUUUAAUCCAUUUAAUGCAUUAAAAGUGUCUUAUUCAUUCACAAUCUCUUGUCAAACAAUGUUUAUUCUCGGACUCAUUUUCGUAAAUUUUUCUACGGCCGCCAUUGCACAUUUUUGUGUAAACUACGGAUUGGAACCGGACCAUGAUGAACUUCCGGUCACCUGUACAGCAAGCAGCACGAAGUUUUAUCGAGCACCAAAUUUUUUUACCUUUUAAAGUUGUUAUUCACCCACAAGCACAGUUUUUAUAGUAGUUUUUAGUGAUGAGACAAUCUUUUUAGUGUUUUAAACGAACUAUUGUCUUUUAAUUUGUACAUACACGUCCUACAUAUCCAACUAUAUAUUUGAUUUUAUCAGCGAGACGACCAC
rnacentral:lncRNA from 1 species